GCCAGGCGCAGUGGUACAUGCCUGUAAUCCCAGCAACUGGGGAGGCUGAGGCAGGAGGAUCUCAUGUUCAAAGUCAGCCUCAGCAAAAGUGAGGUGCUAAGCACUUCAGUGAGACCCUGUCUCUA
rnacentral:sRNA from 1 species